rnacentral:rRNA from 1 species
CCUACGGGUGGCAGCAGUGGGGAAUAUUGGACAAUGGGCGAAAGCCUGAUCCAGCCAUGCCGCGUGUGUGAAGAAGGCCUUCGGGUUGUAAAGCACUUUCAGUGGGGAAGAAAGCCUUGGGGCUAAUACCCUCGAGGAAGGACAUCACCCACAGAAGAAGCACCGGCUAACUCCGUGCCAGCAGCCGCGGUAAUACGGAGGGUGCGAGCGUUAAUCGGGAUUACUGGGCGUAAAGCGCGCGUAGGCGGUCUGAUAAGCCGGUUGUGAAAGCCCCGGGCUCAACCUGGGAACGGCAUCCGGAACUGUCAGGCUAGAGUGCAGGAGAGGAAGGUAGAAUUCCCGGUGUAGCGGUGAAAUGCGUAGAGAUCGGGAGGAAUACCAGUGGCGAAGGCGGCCUUCUGGACUGACACUGACGCUGAGGUGCGAAAGCGUGGGUAGCAAACAGGAUUAGAUACCCCGGUAGUC